rnacentral:rRNA from 1 species
UGCGUAGGUGGGUCUGUAAGUCAGUGGUGAAAUCCCCGAGCUUAACUUGGGAACUGCCGUUGAUACUAUAGAUCUUGAAUAUCGUGGAGGUAAGCGGAAUAUGUCAUGUAGCGGUGAAAUGCUUAGAUAUGACAUAGAACACCAAUUGCGAAGGCAGCUUACUACACGAUCAUUGACACUGAGGCACGAAAGCGUGGGGAGCAAACA